rnacentral:lncRNA from 1 species
UCUUCUCUCACUUUCUUUUUCCUCAGGGUUUUGUUCCAAGGAAACCUCAGAGUGUUUUGCUUCUCUUCCUUUUUCUGUCUGUUUUGUUUCAAUGAAACUCUAGUAUUUAUAGGUUAAUAUUGGUAGCUUAGUGGGCUUUUGAGAGAGGUCCAAGUUCAAGAUUUUUUUUUUCUUUUUUUUCUUUUUUUUUUCGUUUUUCGUUUUUUGUUUUUUUUUUCGUUUUUUUUAUUUAAAUAUUCUGAUUGCCAUGAUGAAAUGCAAAUGCUAAAUGACCUAAAAAUGAAUGCAUGCAUGAGGUGUAAAGCGUAUGCUUCCAGGAAAAAUGAAGGGUAAAUUUUGGGGUAUUACACAUGGGUUGAGGUUGCUUCAUGAGCAAGGCACAGUUGAUGCACAUAUGAAUUAGGG